rnacentral:rRNA from 1 species
UACCCUACGGGACGCAGCAGUGGGGAAUAUUGGGCAAUGGGCGCAAGCCUGACCCAGCAACGCCGCGUGAAGGAAGAAGGCUUUCGGGUUGUAAACCUCUUUAGGCGGGGAGCAAUGCCGGGCACGCGUGCCCGUAGGGAGAGUACCCGCAGAAUAAGCAUCGGCUAACUCCGUGCCAGCAGCCGCGGUAAUACGGAGGAUGCGAGCGUUAUCCGGAUUUAUUGGGUUUAAAGGGUGCGUAGGCGGAUUUUUAAGUCAGCGGUAAAAUGUCCGGGCUCAACCCGGGCCGGCCGUUGAAACUGGGG